rnacentral:rRNA from 1 species
CCUACGGGUGGCAGCAGUGAGGAAUAUUGGUCAAUGGGCUUACGCCUGAACCAGCCAAGUCGCGUGAGGGAAGACUGCCCUAUGGGUUGUAAACCUCUUUUGUCAGGGAGCAACGCCGUCUAUGUGUAGCCGGACUGAGAGUAGCUGAAGAAAAACCAUCGACUAACUCCGUGCCAGCAGCCGCGGUAAUUCGGAGGAUGCAAGCGUAAUCUGGAUUUAUUGGGUUUAAGGGGAGAGUAGGCGGAAUGUCAAGUCAGCGGUAAAAUCGCGGGGCUAACCCUCGAUACGCAGUUGAGACUGGCGUUCUUGAGUAGGCUAGAAGUAUGCAGAAUGCGUGGUGUAGCGGUGAAAUGCGUAGAUAUCACGAAGAACUCCGAUUGCGAAGGCAGCAUACCGGCGCCGAACUGACGCUGAAGCACGAAAGCGUGGGUAUCGAACAGGAUUAGAUACCCGGGUAGUC